ensembl:lncRNA
CUCUAAGCAGAUUCUUUGUUUUAAUAUCUUUUACUAUCCCUUUAGAAAACCUUGUCUAUAAUGAAGCCACUGGUGUUACUAACUGCAGUAUACCAAGAAAUGGAAGGAGUUUCUGGAACAAUGCUGUGAUGUGACUCCCAUUUGGUGACUUCUGGCCAAACUAGUUGUAUGAUUCACUUCCUCUCAAGUUACUGAAGGUGUUUCCCAGGAAAUGUGUCACCUCGGUGUCACAAUUGCUCAGCUAUGAAACUUAAAAUUGCCCACAUACAUUAUUUGUAAACUCAAGUUUCUCAAGUAUUAGGGAACCUAAUUCCAAAUUUAACUUGACCAUGCGUUUCUGAGCUGUGGCUGUCCAUUGAGCGUGUUUGCAUUGGUACUUAGUGACAUGAGAUUUCACUUUGAAAAACUAGUAGGAGGAUGCAUUUUUGCCUCUGCAACCUUGGAAGUACACACCUCAAACUCCUAUGAAAGUCCAUCUAAAAUACAAUUUCUAUGAAAGAUUUUGAAGUUGAACUAUUUUACUUGAUUCCACCUUUUAUAUGAUAAUUCCUCUGACAAAUUUCUUUAGUUACCACUGAAAACCUGUUCAGAUAACACAAGUCUUUAAUUAGCUUUUACUAUUAGUUACUCAUGGUAUAAAGAUAUUUUGGGUAUAUGUGCUCCUUGCAUUAAAGCUUGACACUCAAUAGCUUCCCUUAAUACAGGUAUGUACUCUUUACAAGCUGUGAGGGAGACUUUAUCAUGCUCAAGGUCGUAUCUAAAGAGGUUCUAAAGGUACGGCUUGCAUCUGCACUUCUUUGACAAUUUCUGAUCAGGCUUAACUGGAGUUGCAGCUUUUGCCCACUGCUGGGGAAAAAAGCCAGUCACUGGUUCCUAACCUACACCAUGCACCUGUUCAUAGACUUGUCUCAAAUUUCUCAUCUGCAAUCUCUCCUGCAGUGCCAUAUACCCAUUCCAUUAGUAGCAAUCCAGAAGACUAAAAGAACUCUGCACCCCAAGCUAGCUGGAGACGAAAAUACCAAGCAUUUCUGCAACAGUAAUCACUGUGAAAGUAAGCAGGGACUUCAGAAACAGUCAUUCUAUCUUACGCUAUUCAGAGCAGGGAGCAAGUCCUUCCACUGUCAUCUCUUUUUCUGCUAAGUAUAUAGGGAGCCUCAGGUUCCUGAAUUUUGGGGCCUAGCACAUGCCUGGAACUAUUCGGGAAUCCUUUUUAAGUACACUUGUGUUGUGAUAUUCUGUUGAUCUUCAGAAAAAUCUGUUGUGUCUUUCUAAUCUGUUAUUAAAACUCUCACUGAGAGUGGUAGAAGUACUGAGGAAAAGAACGCUGAAAUUCAAAGUAUGCAUAAGCACUUCCAAAUGUACAGUUAUUCUAUAAUGUUCUUCUGUUAUUUUGACAGCAAUAUAAGAAAACAAAUGUCAAAAAAAAAAAAAAAAGUAGCUUUCCAACAUUUGUGUAGCUGCUUUGAAAGAUGUCCUUGCAAUUUCCCCAAUGAGCUGAUGGAUGUUCUCAGUGAAGUCUCCUCAGCAUGUAAACAGAUACAUCUCCUCUGAGGUAUUCUGCUGUAAUCUGACAGUUUUGAAACUGGAGUGCCUACUUUAGCUGGGAUUGUCUGUGGUGCCAGUGUCUAAUGUUUCUUUAACUCUUUGGAUGGCAGUAACCAGUGACAAACUUAUGAGCUGAUUUUUGUGUUAGCUCACAGAUGGACUCUUAUUUAUGCUAAUAUACAAACACUGAUUGCAGACAAAAGCUUUGCAAGAAAGUACACAUGAGCCAAUGAAGAAGACAAGGUAGUUGGGGCAGAUCCACAGAUAAUCCGACUGGCUUAGCACAGUGUGAGAGAAAAUUAAUACAUUAUAUAGAGUUUGCUUUUUUUGAAGUUGUUUUUUUUUUUUUUUUUUUAAACUGGAAUGAAACUUCAGCAGCAGAAGGGCACUUCCUUACUCAAUGACUAGUAGCAAAACAGACUUUUAUGGAACCAAAGUUGUGAAUGUGACUAUGUGCCUGUUUUCUUGCAUACGUAGAGCUAGGGCUCUACAUGAAUGAGAUCCAUGAUUUCCUGUUACACUUUACAGUUCAUUCACUUUACAUUGUUUUCUUUUUUCCUGGCAGUAUGAAAAUGGUGAUAAUGUUAUUUACCAAUGCAUGUAUUUUCUGUAAAAAUUCUGUAUGUACAAAUCUCCAAGAACUGCUGGAGAUUGGUCCACCAGAGGAAGACAGCUGUGGUAAACCUCCCCAGAAGGAUAUCAAGCCCAUGGAAGUGGAUCUACCCCAAGACUAAGAGGAGACCAUGGACCCAUAUAUGGUGCAACAAUUGCAGUGGGACACCACGCAAAGCUGUCCAGUGGAGGCAGAUAGCUUUACAGACACUGGAGAUGUCCAAAAUAAUCAGUAGCCCUUGGAAGAAUGAAAUGAGAAUGAGAUGAAAAGUGAUUCCCAAAUUUCAGCUGUAAUCAGAAACUACAAAGCACUUCAAACUCCUUUCUGGAUGUUCAGGAGUUUACAGAUAAGACUUAGGGUAAGAGCUGAGUUCAGGUGUUCAAAGCCAGGUUGGACAGUGACCUGGACAACCUGAUAUAG